rnacentral:rRNA from 1 species
AGUGAACGCUGGCGGCAGGCCUAACACAUGCAAGUCGAGCGGCAGCGCGGGGCAACCUGGCGGCGAGCGGCGGACGGGUGAGGAAUGCAUCGGAAUCUACCCUGUCGUGGGGGAUAACGUAGGGAAACCUACGCUAAUACCGCAUACGAACCGAGGUUGAAAGCGGCGGACCGCAAGGCGUCGCGCGAUUGGAUGAGCCGAUGUCCGAUUAGCUAGUUGGCGGGGUAAAGGCCCACCAAGGCGACGAUCGGUAGCUGGUCUGAGAGGACGACCAGCCACACUGGAACUGGGACGCGGUCCAGAAGCCUACGGGAGGCAGCAGUGGGGAAUAUUGGACAAUGGGCGCAAGCCUGAUCCAGCCAUGCCGCGUGGGUGAAGAAGGCCUGCGGGUUGUAAAGCCCUUUUGUCCGGAAAGAAAAGCAUUCGGUUAAUACCCGGGUGUUCUGACGGUACCGGAAGAAUAAGCACCGGCUAACUUCGUGCCAGCCGCCGCGUAAUAC